rnacentral:lncRNA from 1 species
GCACACUCCGCCCCGACACGGCACUUGACUUCGCGAAAAGAGGACCUCAUCGGAGCGGGGUCGCGUCGGAGGGAAGAUGCGCGCGCGCGGCACUGCUUCCCUCCCGUCACCCGCCUCGGGACGGCCGCGCGGGCAGCUUUCAAGAAGGAAGAAAUGAUGCCAUCACAGAGGAGCCCGUUUCAGUUUCGCUCCCGCUUCAACAUCGGCGUGCGAAGCGUGCGGCGAUUUGUGAAAUUUCAGUGAUGUUCAAUAGUUGUAAUCCUGAUUUCGUAGUGUGAGGAUCUCGUUUGUCUUUAAAAGAUUACGGCGAAUUUACAUUAAUGAAAUGAUGACGGAUUAAAUAAGACCGUGCUAUUUUGAACCGUAAAGAUGUAUGCUGCCGCGUUGAAUGAGGACCGCUGCCUGUGCAUCCGUCGCUGUAAAACACAUCUCCGGUAAUUUGACGUGACGGGGACAUCCGCCGCUGGAAGCGACAGUGUGGCACAGCAGGGCGAUAUCGACCGAGGUAACGUUGGGCCGCGAGUGCUUAAAAAUCAGGGCGGACGCUCUGAACGGUUUGCGCUCCUGGCACAUCGUGCAGUAUUAAGGGAGGAAUAGAAACAUUGACCGGUGUCCCGUCGGACGGCCGAGAGAAAGAGAGCGGUCAGCACGCCUGGAGAUCUUCCUGCCUUUUUAAUGGGGACAAAAGCCAGAGAUGAUGGAGAGCUACUGUUGUUGACGGGACUGGAGGCGGACGCUUCCGAAGAUCGCGUCGAGCGGAUCGGGCCUGGGAGCGAGGAGACGAGCCCGUGACUCGGAACGGAGGCGCAGGAGUAAAACGCAUUCGGGGAUCAACAGGAACCCGAAAGGGUAGUUUCACGUUUUUCUCCCCGCAGCGAUAAGCAGAGCGGUGCGCCUCGUGCCUAAUGUGUAAUACAAGAGAAGCAGCCAGCCAGCAUUUUAACGCAAACUAAUCAUCUGUAUUUUUUUUUUUCCUAAUUGAACCAAACGCAUGCCACGUUAUCGCAUUGAAGUCAAGGCCUCUAUUUGUUGAGCGUAACUCUUCGUACGCAACCGAAAAGCUAGACGUCGGCGUCUCUCCGUGCGUAAACUGACUUUCUCACCGUUUCGGGACGGUUCUUUCUCUGUCCGCGUAUGUUCGGCAGGAAGCGGCUCUACGAAGGACUUCUUCGUGGCGUUUUUAGACGGGAGGAGGAAGCGCUAAAGACCCGAGGAGGCGACCGCGGAGCCCCGCCCUCCUAUGGCAGCGCGGCACGAAGCUCGGCUGUCCU